GGUUUGAACUCAUUCCAGAAUGCCGGAUUUACUUUGCACGGAGAAACAGUACCUGGCUGGACUGCAUUUUUCUUGCCCUCCUUAGGCACUGGAAGCUUGGAAACAAAAUAUUCUCUUGCUGCCCUCUCAGUCAUGCAGGGUGCCUGCCUCCUGCAGUGGAUAAGGAAGAAAAACUUUGCUACCUGUGAAAAUGAAGACUUCUUAGGUAGAAAUGAAAGCAAUUCUAUUCACCUUAUUGCUCAAGGACUCCAGAAAUGACCAACUUGAUGUCUUCAGUGGGAACUGUUCAUAAACAAAAAGAGAAAGGAUCAUCUGAAUUCUUUGCCAUGAGUUAGGACCUGAAGUCUCCAUGAAAGACCAGCCCAAGACACAAGAAGAGGAUCUCACCUCCUGCCUCUUUCCAGAGACUCCUUCCUGCUCUG